rnacentral:rRNA from 1 species
GAUGAACGCUGGCGGCGUGCCUAAUACAUGCAAGUCGAGCGAACAGACGAGGAGCUUGCUCCUCUAACGUUAGCGGCGGACGGGUGAGUAACACGUGGAUAACCUACCUAUAAGACUGGGAUAACUUCGGGAAACCGGAGCUAAUACCGGAUAAUAUAUUGAACCGCAUGGUUCAAUAGUGAAAGACGGUUUUGCUGUCACUUAUAGAUGGAUCCGCGCCGCAUUAGCUAGUUGGUAAGGUAACAGCUUACCAAGGCAACGAUGCGUAGCCGACCUGAGAGGGUGAUCGGCCACACUGGAACUGAGACACGGUCCAGACUCCUACGGGAGGCAGCAGUAGGGAAUCUUCCGCAAUGGGCGAAAGCCUGACGGAGCAACGCCGCGUGAGUGAUGAAGGUCUUCGGAUCGUAAAACUCUGUUAUUAGGGAAGAACAAAUGUGUAAGUAACUAUGCACGUCUGGACGGUACCUAAGCAGAAAGCCACGGCUAACUACGU